AGGUCAGUAUUUUUCCACAUAGUGAGGCUGUGUGUGUGUGUGUGUGUGUGUGUGUGUGUGUGUGUGUGUGUUUGCAUGCACCUACACACACACACUACGUAGCUGCA
rnacentral:miRNA from 1 species